rnacentral:rRNA from 1 species
GUUUGCCUACGGAGGCAGCAGUGAGGAAUAUUGGUCAAUGGGCGCGAGCCUGAACCAGCCAAGUCGCGUGAGGGAGGACGGCCCUACGGGUUGUAAACCUCUUUUGCCGGGGAGCAACGGGCGCCACGUGUGGCGUCACUGAGAGUACCCGGAGAAAAAGCAUCGGCUAACUCCGUGCCAGCAGCCGCGGUAAUACGGAGGAUGCGAGCGUUAUCCGGAUUUAUUGGGUUUAAAGGGUGCGCAGGCGGUCUGUUAAGUCAGCGGUCAAAGCCCGGGGCUCAACCCCGGCCCGCCGUUGAAACUGG